AACGGAAAGGCCCUGCUUGCAGGGUACUCGAGUGGCGAACGGGUGAGUAACACGUGGGUGAUCUGCCCUGCACUUCGGGAUAAGCUUGGGAAACUGGGUCUAAUACCGGAUAGGAGCCAUCUUUAGUGUGGUGGUUGGAAAGUUUUUUCGGUGUAGGAUGAGCUCGCGGCCUAUCAGCUUGUUGGUGGGGUAAUGGCCUACCAAGGCGGCGACGGGUAGCCGGCCUGAGAGGGUGUACGGCCACAUUGGGACUGAGAUACGGCCCAGACUCCUACGGGAGGCAGCAGUGGGGAAUAUUGCACAAUGGGCGCAAGCCUGAUGCAGCGACGCCGCGUGGGGGAUGAAGGCCUUCGGGUUGUAAACUCCUUUCGCUAGGGACGAAGCUUUGUGUGACGGUACCUAGAUAAGAAGCACCGGCUAACUACGUGCCAGCAGCCGCGGUAAUACGUAGGGUGCGAGCGUUGUCCGGAAUUACUGGGCGUAAAGGGCUCGUAGGUGGUUUGUCGCGUCGUCUGUGAAAUUCUGGGGCUUAACUCCGGGCGUGCAGGCGAUACAGGCAUAACUUGAGUGCUGUAGGGGUAACUGGAAUUCCUGGUGUAGCGGUGAAAUGCGCAGAUAUCAGGAGGAACACCGAUGGCGAAGGCAGGUUACUGGGCAGUUACUGACGCUGAGGAGCGAAAGCAUGGGUAGCGAACAGGAUUAGAUACCCUGGU
rnacentral:rRNA from 1 species